CAAUAGCGUAUAUUAAAGUUGUUGCAGUUAAAAGCUCGUAGUUGGAUUUGGGACUGGAGUCGUUCGGUCGGCCGCAAGGUCUGUUACUGAACGGCUCUGUCAUCACAUUCCCAGAGACCUGCCGUGUACUUUACUGUGCGCGGUAUGGGAUUUGGGACGUUUACUUUGAAAAAUUAGAGUGUUCAAAGCAGGCUUUCAUAGCCCGAAUACAUGAGCAUGGAAUAAUGGAAUAGGACUACGGUUCUAUUUUGUUGGUUUCUACGACCGUAGUAAUGAUUAAGAGGGACAAUUGGGGGCAUCCGUAUUUCGUUGUCAGAGGUGAAAUUCUUGGAUUUACGAAAGACGAACAACUGCGAAAGCAUUUGCCAAGAGUGUUUUCAUUAAUCAAGAACGAAAGUUAGAGGAUCGAAGACGAUCAGAUACCAU
rnacentral:rRNA from 1 species